rnacentral:lncRNA from 1 species
GCGGCCAUGUGGUGGGUGGUGGGGCUGCCGGCUGCGGGCGGAGACGACGCGGAAAUGAACGUCCUCUCUCCCGUGUCCUCUUGGUCUCUCUCUCUGUAUCGGUCUCUCUCUCCUCGGUGAGGUUGGGCCGUUGGGGAGGCGGCUGGGCUAGAGAGAGAGGGAGGCAGCGCCACCGCCCCGAGCCUCUUUUUCUCGCCAAAAGUACUAUAAAAAUAUUCUAUAAUUUAAAACUAAAUAUAUUUUAUAUAAUUUAGAACACCAACAAAAUAUUAUGUUCCAACAUUAAAAUUUUAAGGUCGUUUGACACAGCUCUGCUCUCUUGAAGAAUCACUCCUGUCAAGCCAAACGAUAAAAAUCUAAAGUGCUUUAUGGUAUGAGUGAAGUCAAUCUAGUCUUUACUUUGUACUAUAAAGUGUGAGCCAAAAAACAUGUUUCACACCACUCCUGACCUGCUCUCCACUGUUUAACCCCUCCGAAAUCACUUCACAGCCUAUUUACCAAACGGGUUUCAUUAAAUAGAUUCACUUUCGGUAGAGAAUCACUUAGAAUCACUCUAUCAGAGAAUUAGCUCUCAGAGCUAGAUAAUCAUAGAGCGGAGCUCUACCAAACGAGCCCUUAAUUCUAGUUUAUAGGGCAACCCAUUAAGGUAUAGUAUAUUUGAGGCACUUGAGAGGGUGCACUAUAUGUUUUUACAAAAUUUUACAAAAUGAGUUAUUGUUGUAGUAUUUUUUCUGUGUAGAGUCUUAUAUUUCAAUUUGAGGUAGUUUGAGGUAUUGUUGGAAAUUUUCUUAGGGCUAGUUUGAUAACCCUAUUUUUUAAUAGAUUUUUAUUUUUACAAAGAAAAUUAGUUUAUUUUUUCUUGAAAAAUAGAAUUUACUUGAAAAAAUAAAGUUUCAAACUAGUCCCCACAUGCUGCUACGAGGAGUUUCUGGACAAGGAGAAUUUCGAGAAUACCGGACCAGUGUUGAUACUCGAUAGUGUUGUACUCUAACUAAAAAGCUACCGAUGGAAUUUCAGGGCAUCACACUAUUUUCUAUUUUUCAACAUUGACUCUAAAGUCUUAAAACAUGCUCGCGUUUCGGCCUCCCUCCGUGUUCUCGGGUACGACAUCCUCACAGCUGCCGACACGUCCACGCACCACGGACGCGAGCGAGACUCUAUCACGGACGUGAGGUUUUCGGACACGAAUUGUUUAUCCAAUCCAGCUUUAUCGUUCUCCCUUCCGCUAUCUCCUCACACGCCGCCGCCUGCCCGACUUCCGGAUCCGCUGCUCCCCUUCCCCUUUCGACCUCUUCCAGCCCGCUGCGGGGGAGCACGCACCAGCCGAGGUCGGCCGAUCACGCGACAGAGAUGGAGGCUCCGGCACCUAUGCUGGCUACCGCGGAUCUGGUGGCAAGGGGCGGAGGAUUGGGAGGCGGCGACUCGGCUGCGCCUGCGUGGCUUCCUGCUGUCUGCUUCUACUCGCCCUCGAGUUUCGGCCUAACAAAGGAACAAGGCCGCAGCUGAUGCCCCUGUAAAGGGAACGGAGUGCAGGCGACGCCGGGAGGAGAUGCGGUGGCCAUGUCUCUGAUCUGGGUGUUCAGGUACGGCUCGCUGAUCUUGAACCCACGCCCGCGUCGUCGGCUUCAUCGGGGACUACCAAAUCUGUUUGCCACUGUACGUCUGUCCGUGAAAUUUCGCCAUACCUCGUCGUACCCUUCCGCCAGUUCACCCAUGUUGUCCCAUAGACCCAUACGCAGCAGCUGCAGGAGAAGAUGUGGUGUGGUGCGUUCCCCUCCUCGUCGAAAUCGUCGUUGCACGGAUCUACAUCGUCUCCACACCUCUGCACUGUCGAGGCAUGGGCGCCGGAGCUGUUCUCCAGUCCACGGCAACAGGGAACGGAGAGAUCCGGGAGGCCUGCGCGACCGCUCCGGGCCGCCGGAAACACACGGCGGCGGCCGACAGGAAAAAAAGAACCUCGCUCACCUUGGCGUCGGCGGGGGCGUGUGCUGUGCCUGCGGCGGCAGGGGGGAGCGGCUGGUCCACCUGCAUCGGGUCCGCGGCGCCGGCGCCGUGGGCCCCACCCGGCAUGGCGGCCAUGUGGUGGGUGGUGGGGCUGCCGGCUGCGGGCGGAGACGACGCGGAAAUGAACGUCCUCUCUCCCGUGUCCUCUUGGUCUCUCUCUCUGUAUCGGUCUCUCUCUCCUCGGUGAGGUUGGGCCGUUGGGGAGGCGGCUGGGCUAGAGAGAGAGAGGGAGGCAGCGCCACCGCCCCGAGCCUCUUUUUCUCGCCAAAAGUACUAUAAAAAUAUUCUAUAAUUUAAAACUAAAUAUAUUUUAUAUAAUUUAGAACACCAACAAAAUAUUAUGUUCCAACAU